GCGCAUCUGGUGUAGUGGUAUCAUAGUACCCUCCCAGGGUACUGACCGGGGUUUGAUUCCCCGGAUGCGUA
rfam:Nelumbo nucifera unplaced genomic scaffold scaffold00001, whole genome shotgun sequence